rnacentral:rRNA from 1 species
GAUGAACGCUGGCGGCGUGCCUAAUACAUGCAAGUCGAGCGAACAGACGCGGCGCUUGUUCCUCUGACGUUUGCGGCGGGCGUGUGAGUCACACGUGGAUCCCCUACCUAUCUGACGGAGAUCACUUCGGGACACCGGCGCUAAUACCAUAUAAUCUCUUGAACCGCAUGGUUCAAUGGUGAGUGACGGUUUUGCUGUAACUUAUCGCUGGAUCCGGGCGGCAUUAGCUAGUUGGUAAGGUAACGGCUUACCAAGGCAACGAUGCGUAGCCGACCUGAGAGGGUGAUCGGCCACACUGGAACGGAGACAAGGUCCAGACUCCUAAGGUAGGCAGCAGAAGGGAAUCGUACGCAAUGGGCGAAAGCCUGACGGAGCAACGGCGCGUGAGUGAUGAAGGUGUUGGGAUCGGAAAAAUCUGUUAUGAGGGAAGAACAAAUGUGGAAGGAAACAUGCAGGGCGUGACGGUACCUAAUCAGAAAGCCACGGCUAACUACGUG